rnacentral:rRNA from 1 species
UACGAAGGGGGCUAGCGUUGCUCGGAAUUACUGGGCGUAAAGCGCACGUAGGCGGCUUUCUAAGUCGGGGGUGAAAUCCUGGAGCUCAACUCCAGAACUGCCUUUGAUACUGAGGAUCUUGAGUUCGGGAGAGGUGAGUGGAACUGCGAGUGUAGAGGUGAAAUUCGUAGAUAUUCGCAAGAACACCAGUGGCGAAGGCGGCUCACUGGCCCGAUACUGACGCUGAGGUGCGAAAGCGUGGG